UACAGAGGUCUCAAGCGUUGUUCGGAUUCAUUGGGCGUAAAGGGUGCGUAGGUGGCGCGCUAAGUCAGGUGUGAAAUUUCGGAGCUUAACUCCGAAACUGCAUUUGAUACUGGCGUGCUUGAGGACUGGAGAGGAGACUGGAAUUCAUGGUGUAGCAGUGAAAUGCGUAGAUAUGCGGCGGAACACCAGUGGCGAAGGCGACUCACUGGCCCGAUACUGACGCUGAGGCGCGAAAGCGUGGGGAGCAAACAGG
rnacentral:rRNA from 1 species